AUUGAACGCUGGCGGCAGGCUUAACACAUGCAAGUCGAGCGGUAACAGAGAGAAGCUUGCUUCUCUGCUGACGAGCGGCGGACGGGUGAGUAAUGCCUAGGAAUCUGCCUAGUAGUGGGGGAUAACUUGCCGAAAGGUAAGCUAAUACCGCAUACGUCCUACGGGAGAAAGGAGGGGACCUUCGGGCCUUUCGCUAUUAGAUGAGCCUAGGUCGGAUUAGUUAGUUGGUGAGGUAAUGGCUCACCAAUACCGCGAUCCGUAACUGGUCUGAGAGGAUGAUCAGUCACACUGGAACUGAGACACGGGCCAGACGCCUACGGGAGGCAGCAGUGGGGAAUAUUGGACAAUGGGGGGAACCCUGAUCCAGCCAUGCCGCGUGUGUGAAGAAGGUCUUAGGAUUGUAAAGCACUUUAAGUUGGGAGGAAGAGCAGUUAACUAAUAUUUGACUGUUUUGACGUUACCGACAGAAUAAGCACCGGCUAACUUCGUGCCAGCCGCCGCGGUAA
rnacentral:rRNA from 1 species